rnacentral:rRNA from 1 species
CGGUGUUUAACUGGCGUGAUGUGGGACGUCCUACCGGUGGGCUUAGCCUCGCGAGGGGCGGCCCAACUAAUAUCCCGUCGCGGUGCUCUUUACUGAGUGUCGAGUCGGGCCGGUACGUUUACUUUGAACAAAUUAGAGUGCUUAAAGCAGGCUAUCCUCGCCUGAAUACUGCGUGCAUGGAAUAAUGGAAUAGGACCUCGGUUCUAUUUUGUUGGUUUUCGGAACCCCGAGGUAAUGAUUAAUAGGGACAGAUGGGGGCAUUCGUAUUGCGACGUUAGAGGUGAAAUUCUUGGAUCGUCGCAAGACGGACAGAAGCGAAAGCAUUUGCCAAAAAUGUUUUCAUUAAUCAAGAACGAAAGUUAGAGGUUCGAAGGCGAUCAGAUACCGCCCUAGUUCUAACCAUAAACGAUGCCAGCUAGCGAUCCGCCGAAGUUCCUCCGAUGACUCGGCGGGCAGCUUCCGGGAAACCAAAGCUUUUGGGUUCCGGGGGAAGUAUGGUUGCAAAGCUGAAACUUAAAGGAAUUGACGGAAGGGCACCACCAGGAGUGGAGCCUGCGGCUUAAUUUGACUCAACACGGGAAACCUCACCAGGCCCAGACACCGGAAGGAUUGACAGAUUGAUAGCUCUUUCUUGAUUCGGUGGGUGGUGGUGCAUGGCCGUUCUUAGUUGGUGGAGCGAUUUGUCUGGUUAAUUCCGAUAACGAACGAGACUCUACCCUGCUAAAUAGGCGUACCUUAUGGUAUCGCGAAGGCCCCCGGCUUCGGCCGGUGGGUUUUUACUACCAACGUACAAACAAAUCUUCUUAGAGGGCACAGCGCGG